rnacentral:snRNA from 1 species
UUGCUUCAGCAGCACAUAUACUAAAAUUGGAACGAUGCAGAGAAGAUUAGCAUGGCCCCUGCACAAGGAUGACAGACAAAUUCGUGAAGCGUUCCAUAUUUUA